rnacentral:rRNA from 1 species
AUUGAACGCUGGCGGCAGGCCUAACACAUGCAAGUCGAACGGUAACAGGAAACAGCUUGCUGUUUCGCUGACGAGUGGCGGACGGGUGAGUAAUGUCUGGGAAACUGCCUGAUGGAGGGGGAUAACUACUGGAAACGGUAGCUAAUACCGCAUAACGUCGCAAGACCAAAGAGGGGGACCCUCGGGCCUCUUGCCAUCGGAUGUGCCCAGAUGGGAUUAGCUUGUUGGUGGGGUAACGGCUCACCAAGGCGACGAUCCCUAGCUGGUCUGAGAGGAUGACCAGCCACACUGGAACUGAGACACGGUCCAGACUCCUACGGGAGGCAGCAGUGGGGAAUAGUGCACAAUGGGCGCAAGCCUGAUGCAGCCAUGCCGCGUGUAUGAAGAAGGCCUUCGGGUUGUAAAGGACUUUCAGCGGGGAGGAAGGGAGUAAAGUUAAUACCUUUGCUCAUUGACGUUACCCGCAGAAGAAGCACCGGCUAACUCCG